AAGGUGGGGCUAAUGACUGGGGUGAAGUCGUAACAAGGUAGCCGUACCGGAAGGUGCGGCUGGAUCACCUCCUAACAGGGAGACGAAAAACGAUUAUGAUGUCUAGAUAUUUAUUUUCAAGACCAUAAUCCUGUCACCUUAGGUCGAUCGGUACCUCAGCUUGAAAGCUUCUGGAUUAUUGAUUCAGUCAAUGAUUAUUAGAUUCUUUUGAUUUCAGUUCCUAAACUUGUCUAGGUCACACCCAACAAACUUUCUUCUGGGCUAUUAGCUCAGGUGGUUAGAGCGCACCCCUGAUAAGGGUGAGGUCCCUGGUUCAAGUCCAGGAUGGCCCAUUCGUUGUUGGGGGUAUAGCUCAGUUGGUAGAGCGCCUGCUUUGCAAGCAGGAUGUCAGCGGUUCGAGUCCGCUUACCUCCACUGAUCAACUGCCUGAUAACUCAAUUUUGAAGAUUGACUUUGUUUAAUGUGAUUUAGACGUUGUUCGACUGAUCGAACCUAGCUUCCUGUCAUCC
rnacentral:misc_RNA from 1 species